CAGCAGCCGCGGGAAUACGUAGGUGGCAAGCGUUAUCCGGAAUUAUUGGGCGUAAAGCGCGCGUAGGCGGUUUCUUAAGUCUGAUGUGAAAGCCCACGGCUCAACCGUGGAGGGUCAUUGGAAACUGGGAAACUUGAGUGCAGAAGAGGAAAGUGGAAUUCCAUGUGUAGCGGUGAAAUGCGCAGAGAUAUGGAGGAACACCAGUGGCGAAGGCGACUUUCUGGUCUGUAACUGACGCUGAUGUGCGAAAGCGUGGGGAUCAAACAGGAUUAGAUACCCCUGUAGUCCCUGUCUCUUAUAU
rnacentral:rRNA from 1 species